rnacentral:pre_miRNA from 1 species
CAACCUCCGCAGGCUGGCCGGCCCUGCAGGGUGGGCUGGGCGAGCAUCUCUUCGAAAGGCUCACUCUGAAGCAUGACUAAGAGC